UACGGAGGGGGCUAGCGUUGUUCGGAAUUACUGGGCGUAAAGCGCACGUAGGCGGCUUUGUAAGUUAGAGGUGAAAGCCCAGGGCUUAACCCUGGAAUUGCCUUUAAGACUGCAUCGCUAGAAUCGUGGAGAGGUGAGUGGAAUUCCGAGUGUAGAGGUGAAAUUCGUAGAUAUUCGGAAGAACACCAGUGGCGAAGGCGGCUCACUGGCUCAUUACUGACGCUCAGGCGCGAUAGCGUGGGGAUCAAACAGG
rnacentral:rRNA from 1 species